rnacentral:rRNA from 1 species
AGCGAACGCUGGGGCAGGCCUAAUACAUGCAAGUCGAACGGUCUCUUCGAGGCAGUGGCGGACGGGUGAGUAACGCGUGGGAAUAUGGCCCUUUGGUACGGAACGAACUGAGGGAAACUUCAGCUAAUACCGUAUGUGCCCUUCGGGGGAAAGAUUUAUCGCCAUUGGAGUAGCCCGCGUUGGAUUAGGUAGUUGGUGGGGUAAAGGCCUACCAAGCCUACGAUCCAUAGCUGGUCUGAGAGGAUGAUCAGCCACACUGGGACUGAGACACGGCCCAGACUCCUACGGGAGGCAGCAGUAGGGAAUCUUGCGCAAUGGGCGAAAGCCUGACGCAGCCAUGCCGCGUGAAUGAUGAAGGUCUUAGGAUUGUAAAAUUCUUUCACCGGGGAAGAUAAUGACGGUACCCGGAGAAGAAGCCCCGGCUAACUUCGUG